AGUGAACGCUGGCGGUAGGCCUAACACAUGCAAGUCGAACGGCAGCACAGUAAGAGCUUGCUCUUACGGGUGGCGAGUGGCGGACGGGUGAGGAAUACAUCGGAAUCUACUUUUUCGUGGGGGAUAACGUAGGGAAACUUACGCUAAUACCGCAUACGACCUACGGGUGAAAGCAGGGGAUCUUCGGACCUUGCGCGAUUGAAUGAGCCGAUGUCGGAUUAGCUAGUUGGCGGGGUAAGGGCCCACCAAGGCGACGAUCCGUAGCUGGUCUGAGAGGAUGAUCAGCCACACUGGAACUGAGACACGGUCCAGACUCCUACGGGAGGCAGCAGUGGGGAAUAUUGGACAAUGGGCGCAAGCCUGAUCCAGCCAUACCGCGUGGGUGAAGAAGGCCUUCGGGUUGUAAAGCCCUUUUGUUGGGAAAGAAAAGCAGCAGGUUAAUACCCCGCUGUUUUGACGGUACCCAAAGAAUAAGCACCGGCUAACUUCGUG
rnacentral:rRNA from 1 species